UGCCUAGACACAAUAAGGGAUAAAGGACGUAGCAUAUUGCGAAAAGUCAUGGGGAGAAAUGCUAAUCGAAGAUCCAUGAAUUUCCUAUGAGAAAACUCGGUCGAUGCGGACCUAAAACCGUAACUGGGUGAACUGAAACAUCUAAGUAGCCCAAGGAAAAGAAAUCAAACGAGAUUCCGUAAGUAGUGGCGAGCGAAAGCGGAGGUAGGCUGUUACUACAUUAAAGUUAUAUAUAGUGAGUGAAAAUGCAAGAAUACAUUAUCAGAGAGGGUGAUAAUCCCGUAGCUUCAGCUAAAUAACUUAUUAGGUAGUACAAUGAGUAAAGCGGGACAUGUGUAAUCCUGCUCGAAUAUAGGGGAACCAUCCCUCUAAGCCUAAAUAGACUUAUUGUGAUCGAUAGUGGACAAGUACCGUAAGGGAAAGGUGAAAAGAACCUUGAGAAAGAGGAGUGAAAUAGAACCUGAAAUUGAACGUCUACAAUCAAUUGAAGACCUGAGUAUUUUCUCGGGUCGACAGUGUACCUUUUGCAUCAUGGGUUAGCGAGUUUUUUGUUCAGGCUUAUUAAGCUAAAGUCGUUAGAUGGAGGCGAAGCGAAAGCGAGUUUUAAUAGAGCGUAUUGUCUGAGUAAAAAGACCCGAAACCGGGUGAUCUAACCAUGGGCAGGUUGAACACCGAGUAAUAUUGGUGGGAGGACCGAACUUACGUCUGUUGCAAAAGACGAAGAUGACCUGUGGUUAGGGGUGAAAGGCCAAUCAAACUCGGAGAUAGCUGGUUUUCCACGAAAUCUAUUGAAGUAGAGCGCGGCGUGUUUCCUUUGGGGGGUAGAGCACUUUGUGGGUUCAAGAAAUAUUUGCAUCCCAUAUAAACUCCGAAUACCUGAAGAUUAAAGCGUCGUAGACAGACUAUGGGUGCUAAGAUCCAUAGUCAAGAGGGAAACAGCCCAGAGCAUAGGCUAAGGUCCUUAAAAGAUGACUAAGUGAAAAGGAAGUCGAAACAUGAUGACGACCAGAAGUUGGGCUUAGAAGCAGCCAUACUCUAAGGAAAGCGUAGCUGCUCACUGGUUUAUGUGUUUUGGCGCCGAAAAUUUAUAGGGGCUCAAGUCAUCUACCGAAGCCAUGGUCCUCAAAUUUUAUUUUGGGGAGGUAGUGGAACGUUCUGUAUUCUGUUGAAGUCGUAUCGUAAGAUCCGGUGGAGGAAACAGAAUUGAAAAUGCUAACAUGAGUAACAUUAAAGGAAGUCAAGAAACUUCCUCGUCGAAAGUCCAAGGAUUCCUACGCAAGUAUAAACCACGUAGGGUUAGGCGGUCCCUAAGGAGAUGGCGAAAGCAUUAUCCGAUGGAAAUUUUUUUCUAACGAAAAACCCUCGAGAAUCAAGGACGAAUUUGUAACCUCGCUGUGAAUAACUGGAUUUUUGCAGUGGGGCCAGAGUUCCGGGAAAAGCUGAUUCUCAUUAAGACCGUACUCCAAACCGACACAGGUGGACUGGUUGAGAAAACUAAGACGUAUGAGUGAACUAUGCUGAAGGAACUCGACAAAAUGAUCCCGUAACUUCGGAAGAAGGGAUACCGGGUGCCUUAAGGUAUUCGGUGGCACAGAAGCGGAUGCGGCGACUGUUUAUUAAAAACACAGGACUCUGCUAAAUUGAAAGAUGAUGUAUAGGGUCUGACACCUGCCCGGUGCUGGUAGAUGAAAAAGAAGAAUAUUUAAUGUUUGGACUACAAGUCCCAGUAAACGGCAGCCAUAAAUAUAAUGGUUCUAAGGUAGCGAAAUUCCUUGUCGGGUAAAUUCCGACCUGCAUGAAUGGUGUAACGACUGUGUCAUUGUCUCCAGCAUAGCCUCAGUGAAUUUGAAUUUUGCGUGAAGAUGCGCAGUACUAGCAGCAAGACGGUAAGACCCCGUGCACCUUUACUAAAGUUUUACAUUGUUUGAAAAAAGGCGAAGUGUAGAAUAGGUGGGAGCUCAUUUUGGGCGUCCGUGAAAUACCACCCUUUGAAUUUUGGAUCUCUAAUCUUGUAGUAAUAAAUAUAUAUAAGACACAGUGUAUGAUGGUUAGUUUGGCUGGGGUGGCCGCCUCCCAAAAAGUAACGGAGGCGUACGAAGGCAGGCUCAUGAUUACUUAAGUAAUCGGUAGAGUGCAAUGGCAUAAGCUUGCUUGACUGUGAGACUGACAAGUCGAACAGGAGUCUUUACUUUGCUUUCGGGCAAAGCAAGGGCUGGUCAUAGUGAUCCGGUGAUCCCGAAUGGAAGGGUCAUCGCUCAACGGAUAAAAGGUACGCCGGGGAUAACAGGCUAAUGUCUCUUAAGAGUUCCUAUCGACGGGGACGUUUGGCACCUCGAUGUCGUCUCAUCUCAUCCUGGAGCUGAAGAAGGUUCCAAGGGUUCGGCUGUUCGCCGAUUAAAGAGGUACGUGAGAUGGGUUUAGAACGUCGUAAGACAGUUCGGUCCCUAUCUGCUGUUAGAGUUAAAUUACAAAGAAUUGAAGAAACCGGUUUAUAGUACGAGAGGACCUAAACCGACGAACCUCUAGUGUAUCGGUUGUCUUGCCAAAGGCACCGCCGAGUAGCCACGUUCGGACACAUUAACCACUGAAAGCAUCAAUGUGGGAAAUAAUUUCUAAUACUAUUCU
rnacentral:rRNA from 1 species